rnacentral:rRNA from 1 species
GACGAACCGUGCGAACGUUAUUCGGAAUCACUGGGCUUAAAGCGCGUGUAGGCGGAUGGGAACGUCGGUAGUUGAAAGCCCCCCGGCUCAACCGGGGAAGUGGUGCCGAAACGACCCGUCUGGAGGGACGUAGGGGGACCUGGAACUUCCGGUGGAGCGGUGAAAUGCGUUGAGAUCGGAAGGAACGCCCGUGGCGAAAGCGAGGUCCUGGACGUCUACUGACGCUGAGACGCGAAAAGCUAGGGGAGCAAACGGG